AAGUGGUAGGAGAGCGUUCUAUUUGCGUCGAAGGUAUACCGGUAAGGAGUGCUGGAGCGAAUAGAAGUGAGCAUGCAGGCAUGAGUAGCGAUAAUUAAUGUGAGAAUCAUUAACGCCGUAAACCCAAGGUUUCCUACGCGAUGCUCGUCAUCGUAGGGUUAGUCGGGUCCUAAGUCGAGUCCGAAAGGGGUAGACGAUGGCAAAUUGGUUAAUAUUCCAAUACCAACAUUAGUGUGCGAUGGAAGGACGCUUAGGGCUAAGGGGGCUAGCGGAUGGAAGUGCUAGUCUAAGGUUGUAGGAGGUUAUACAGGCAAAUCCGUAUAACAAUACUCCGAGAACUGAAAGGCUUUUUGAAGUCUUCGGAUGGAUAGAAGAACCCCUGAUGCCGUCGAGCCAAGAAAAGUUUCUAAGUUUAGCUAAUGUUGCCCGUACCGUAAACCGACACAGGUGGGUGGGAUGAGUAUUCUAAGGCGCGUGGAAGAACUCUCUUUAAGGAACUCUGCAAAAUAGCACCGUAUCUUCGGUAUAAGGUGUGGUUAGCUUCGUACUAGGAUUUACUCCGAAAGCGAAGAAACUUACAACAAAGAGUCCCUCCCGACUGUUUACCAAAAACACAGCACUCUGCUAACUCGUAAGAGGAUGUAUAGGGUGUGACGCCUGCCCGGUGCUCGAAGGUUAAUUGAUGGGGUUAGCAUUAGCGAAGCUCUUGAUCGAAGCCCGAGUAAACGGCGGCCGUAACUAUAACGGUCCUAAGGUAGCGAAAUUCCUUGUCGGUUAAAUACCGACCUGCAUGAAUGGCGUAACGAGAUGGGAGCUGUCUCAAAGAGGGAUCCAGUGAAAUUGUAGUGGAGGUGAAAAUUCCUCCUACCCGCGGCAAGACGGAAAGACCCCGUGGACCUUUACUACAGCUUGACACUGCUAUUUGGAUAAGAAUGUGCAGGAUAGGUGGGAGGCUUUGAGUAUAUGACGCCAGUUGUAUAUGAGCCAUUGUUGAGAUACCACUCUUUCUUAUUUGGGUAGCUAACCAGCUUGAGUUAUCCUCAAGUGGGACAAUGUCUGGUGGGUAGUUUGACUGGGGCGGUCGCCUCCCAAAUAAUAACGGAGGCUUACAAAGGUUGGCUCAGAACGGUUGGAAAUCGUUCGUAGAGUAUAAAGGUAUAAGCCAGCUUAACUGCAAGACAUACAAGUCAAGCAGAGACGAAAGUCGGUCUUAGUGAUCCGGUGGUUCUGUGUGGAAGGGCCAUCGCUCAAAGGAUAAAAGGUACCCCGGGGAUAACAGGCUGAUCUCCCCCAAGAGCUCACAUCGACGGGGAGGUUUGGCACCUCGAUGUCGGCUCAUCGCAUCCUGGGGCUGGAGCAGGUCCCAAGGGUAUGGCUGUUCGCCAUUUAAAGCGGUACGCGAGCUGGGUUCAGAACGUCGUGAGACAGUUCGGUCCCUAUCUGCCGUGGGCGUAAGAAGAUUGAAGAGAUUUGACCCUAGUACGAGAGGACCGGGUUGAACAAACCACUGGUGUAGCUGUUGUUCUGCCAAGAGCAUCGCAGCGUAGCUAAGUUUGGAAAGGAUAAACGCUGAAAGCAUCUAAGCGUGAAGCCAACUCUAAGAUGAAUCUUCUCUAAGCUCUCUAGAAGACUACUAGUUUGAUAGGCUGGGUGUGUAAUGGAUGAAAGUCCUUUAGCUGACCAGUACUAAUAGAGCGUUUGGCUUAUCUUU
rnacentral:rRNA from 1 species